GUGUCUGGGUGUGCGCGUGCGACAGAGAAUGUUAACAGUACGUACAGUAUGUGAAUGUGUCCACAAAGUUGCAUUUUCUGUGUUGAGGUUAAAAGAGAAAGGGUACUUCCUCCUGCUCUAUUUUUAUCGGUUUCUCAUGCUGGCUGGAGUGGAGCUCUCCUUGGUCUCUUGUUGAUGACAGCCCAAAUCCAGGCAUACCUGUGUUCAAAUACAAUUUAAAAUAAUUUUAAAUACUUCAGUUUUGCUUGAUUGAACUUGACUGCUGCAAUGGAACCAAUGGAAUAGUCGCAAACUAUCUGGCACUCCAAGAAGAAACUCCAGGAAGGCUAAAGCAAACACUCAAAGUAUUUGGAAGAUUUCAAAUAGUGUUUGAACCCAGGUCUGAGCUCAGGCGAAGGUGGUCUUUCAGUUCCAGACAGCCAAAUGAAGUGCUCUCCUUUCCCCUCCUCUCUCUCUGUGCUGUAAAGAGGGGCUGCUUUGUGGCCUUCAACACCCCCACUCACUCCCCUCCCUCCACUCCAGCCCCCCUGUGUGGGAUCGCCUUGACGACAGGAAGUUUAUAUAUGUGAGUCAGAGAACAGAGGCAGGCGGAUGGGGGAGGGGCCUGCACCACGGUUCCCGGCACUCUCUCAUUCAGAGCACCGCUAAGCUGGCUAGGCUAAAAGGGCUAACACCUGAGCUGGGAGAGAAGGAAAACCCUUCUGCAAAACUUCCCGCUACAGGGAUCCACAGAAAGAAAAGACUGGGGGAAUUCUCUGCUGGCUAGAACACUCAGACUAGGGGGAAAAGGAAGAAAAGCCAAUCAGUAACAGUAAGGUACAGCUGUCGGGACUCCGGAGAGAGAGGCUAACCUCGGGACAGUUUUUAAAUAAGAUAGGAGAACUCUCAGCUAGCCACGGAGCACACUUUGCUGUCAAAGACUUCGUCAGGAGGACUCUUCAGGAAAGGAAAACCCCAGACCAAAUAUAGCAGAGCACACUCAGCACAGUCUGGAGGAGAAGGGGAGAGAGAAGGAGAACUGCCGGAGCCAAAUUUGACUGGACUUCACACUGGAAAUCAUCACUCCGUGUCGUCGGCUGAUUCUGUGUGCAGACAACAGGAAAGAGAUGGACUGGAUGGCAGCCCUGAAGAGUGUUCAGAACAGAGAACACUUUGAGAGCAUACAGUCUGGCAGUUUAUCGCCAGUUCCCCCUAUGGGCACAAGUGAGAAUUAGAAUUGGACGAGGUGUACGGCGUCUCAUCCCUGCGUGUGUUGUUUCUUCCAUAAGGCAACAUACCCAGAAGCAAAGGCCAGGCGUACCUGUAUGUUGCAGGUGAGUUUAUCUUCUCCAAGAAUCACAGGCAACAGCUCUCAAUCUCCACCGCCCAGCUGAUUGGCUCCACAGCAGCACAGCACCCCCUCCUUAGUGAUGUAGCUGAACCCUCAUCAACACCGUCUCUCCAGCAACACAGCACCCCCUCCUUAGUGAUGUAGCUGAACCCUCAUCAACACCGUCUCUCCAGCAGCACAGCACCCCCUCCUUAGUGAUGUAGCUGAACCCUCAUCAACACCGUCUCUCCAGCAGCACAGCACCCCCUCCUUCGCGGUGUAGCUCAACCCUCAGCAGCACCGUCUCUCCAGCAGCACAGCACCCCCUCCUUAGUGAUGUAGCUGAACCCGCAUCAACACCGUCUCUCCAGCAACACAGACAAAGACAAUAAACACACUGCAUUGGUCUUGCUGGUGCCUUCAAACCAAAACUAAUGAAACGUGGUGGAGGAAAUAUGUUGUUCUAACUUUUUCUUUGUCAACAUGAGCCCUGUGUUGUAUAAUGCUGAACCAUUGACCAAUAGUGUCCUCUACUGGUGCUUUCUGAGAGUGAGUCACACGUGAACUGGUGGGCAGGAUUGUAAAGUAAGUAGUCUCCAAUUCACUCAGACACUAACUGCUAGGCUUUUCCGGCUUCAAGCCACCCAGUCCAACAAAGCAAGGUCACAGCACCUUAUGGAACAGUAGCAUCUAUCCGAAAUGGACUCAAGUAGCCUCCUUCCUUGACAGGAUGGAAAGGAACUGUAAAGAUGCUGUUGUAUUUCAGAAGACAAUGAAACACAAAAUGUGACCUCUCUCACGUCAGUUAAAUUCAAAAGCCUUUAAUUGGUACUACAUUUGAGAAGUGAUGUUACAAAGCUUUUCACAUUUUCCACAGGUGAGAAGUGCUAUUCACAUGAAUAUGACCUGGAGUGAGAAACUAGAUCAGGUCCCGGUUUCCCAAAAGCAUCUUAAGGCUACGUUCAUUGAACUUAGCCUUAAAGCUGCAAUCAGCAGUAGACACAAUAACAAAGUGGCCUCCCCACUGCUGGUUCAGGUAAAAAGCUGAGGGAUGGGGCUGGAGAAAUUUAAGGACUGAUCAUACAUGAUAUCAAAAUCAUAGUUUUAACAACGUUUUGAGGCUAUAUAGUGUUUGUUUAAAUGUUCAUUGUUUACAAACACUGGUGUAAAACAAGCUUAUAUUUUGGUUCUGAUGGGGUAUGACAGUUCAUCUAAGCUCAUGAGGCAUUUAUGAAUUAUAUUAUUCAAGAAUCAAUGGGUACAUAUCAACUUCUAAGUCCAAAAAUGGAUGCAGCAACUGCUGAUUGCCCUAACCUUUGAUGCUUGCAGAUCUGAAACGGUCUGGACAGGCAUAACCAGUGUAGUACUGGUGGAGCUCCCACCAUAUUGCCUACUCCUUACGUAUCUGCAAACAUGCUGAGGCCAGAUCCACGUACUGGUUAGGACCAAAGGUGUAGGGAGCAUAUUGGGACCAACUGCAAGACAAGAGUUGGGCAAACUGAGAGGAGUAAGUUAAUGACCAGACAAAUACCAUAUACCAAGUACCUGUGCUACUUGUCAGGUGUCAGUGCUGUUAUCCAAUCAACAGAACGGUCAGGUGCCAGUGCUGUUACCUAAUCAAUAGACAACAGAACAGUGGUGUUUGAGUGCUUUUACUUAAUCAACAGAACUAUCAGGUGUCA